rfam:Chlorella variabilis unplaced genomic scaffold CHLNCscaffold_15, whole genome shotgun sequence.
UCCUCCUUAGCUCAGUUGGCUAGAGCGCUCGGCUGUUAGAUAAUCGUUAAUUUGCAACCGCGAGGUCGCGUGUUCGAGCCACGCAGGGGGAG